CUCGUAAGCCGCCCUGAAUGGGCAGAAGCCUCGCCACCUCCUCCAGACACUCCUCGAGCCUGCACCCAGCAGGCCCAGGAAGAAACCCUCUGAGAAGCAGACACACACCCAGGAACAGAGCACUUCCCCCCUCACAGUGACCUGCAGGAACUGGUGUGAUUACAGAUGACUGACAGCCCCUUCAUUGGGAGGGGCCACCUGACAGGGAGGGACAAAAAGGAAAUCACAUGGCAGUGGAAGUGAACGUGACAAUGUCUUCAGAGCUGCUGUUUUUUUCCCCACAUUCUUCUCCAAAAGACCUGAGAGGAUCUAGCAUGUAAGACACAUAAAACAGAAAAACACACAUGAAAGGGCUUCCCUGGUGGCGCAGUGGUUAAGAAUCCGCCUGCCAGUGCAGGGGACACGGGUUCAAGCCCUGGUCCAGGAAGAUCCCACAUGCCGCGGAGCAACUAAGCCCAUGCGCCACAACUACUGAGCCUGCGCUCUAGAGCCCACGAGCCACAACUACUGAAGCCCGCGAGGCACAACGACUGAGCCCAUGUGCCACAACGACUGAAGCCUGCAUGCCUAGAGCCCAUGCUUCGCAACAAGAGAAGCCACCGCAAGGAAAAGCCCACACACCGCAAUGAAGAGUAGCCUCCACUCGCCACAACUAGAGAAAGCCCGCGCAGCAGCAAAGACCCAAUGCAGCCAAAAAUAAAAUAAAUUUUUAAAACCUGUUUAAAAAAAAAACACACAUGAAAGAGUAAGACAAGAUCAACAAGUCGGGGUGAGAGAAUGUCACCCAAAAAGGAAACCUAGG